GACGGAGGAUGCAAGCGUUAUCCGGAAUGAUUGGGCGUAAAGCGUCCGCAGGUGGCAGUUCAAGUCUGCUGUCAAAGACCGGGGCUUAACUUCGGAAAGGCAGUGGAAACUGAACAGCUAGAGUAUGGUAGGGGCAGAGGGAAUUCCUGGUGUAGCGGUGAAAUGCGUAGAGAUCAGGAAGAACAUCGGUGGGCGAAAGGCGCUCUGCUGGACCAUAACUGACACUCAGGGACGAAAGCUAGGGGAGCGAAUGGG
rnacentral:rRNA from 1 species